rnacentral:rRNA from 1 species
GAUGAACGCUAGCGGGAGGCUUAACACAUGCAAGUCGUGGGGCAGCAUUAGGUAGCAAUACUUAGAUGGCGACCGGCGCACGGGUGAGUAACGCGUAUGCAACCUACCCAGUACAGGGGGAUAGCCCGGAGAAAUUCGGAUUAAUACCCCAUAAUGAUAUAUAGAGGCAUCUUUUUAUAUUUAAAGCUUCGGCGGUACUGGAUGGGCAUGCGUAAGAUUAGCUAGUUGGUAGGGUAACGGCCUACCAAGGCUCCGAUCUUUAGGGGUCCUGAGAGGGUGAUCCCCCACACUGGUACUGAGACACGGACCAGACUCCUACGGGAGGCAGCGGUGAGGAAUAUUGGUCAAUGGGCGCAAGCCUGAACCAGCCAUCCCGCGUGAAGGAAGAAUGCGCUAUGCGUUGUAAACUUCUUUUCCGGAGGAAUAAAAUCUUGUGCGCGUACAGGACUGAAGGUACCCCGGGAAUAAGCAUCGGCUAACUCCGUGCCAGCCGCCGCAGUAAUAC